rnacentral:rRNA from 1 species
GUUUGAUCUCAAAUCAGGUAGGACUACCCGCUGAACUUAAGCAUAUCAAUAAGCGGAGGAAAAGAAACUAACAAGGAUUCCCCUAGUAACUGCGAGUGAAGCGGGAAGAGCUCAAAUUUAAAAUCUGGCGGCCUCCGGCUGUCCGAGUUGUAGUCUGGAGAAGCGUUUUCCGUGCUGGACCGUGUAA